rnacentral:lncRNA from 1 species
UGUCUCUACACUGUAGAUCAGAGACUCAUCUAUCCUGAAGAAAGCGAUCUGUGCAUCGAUUUAUCCGCAUCGAUCACCAUCCUCAUAAUGAUAGUAUGAUUGAAAGUAUUUAAGAAUUAAAUACAUGCCUCUAAUUUUUAAUAUUUUGAGAAUAUAUAUCAAAAUAUUAAUUCCAUGGAUGAUUCAAGGAUAUAUUACACUUGAAUGAAAAAUAAACUUGCCUUUUUUAUUGAUCAAAUCAAUGUAUAAAGUACAAAAUUAUGUCCUAGAUAUAUUAUAAUGUGUCAGCCUUAUUGGCUUCUAGGACAUACAUCUAACAUUCACAUCCAUAGAUGAGUCCAAGGUGUGCAAGCUUCAAAGAUCCAUCUAUGGAUUGAAGCAGACAUUUAGG